UACAGAGGGUGCGAGCGUUUAAUCGGAAUUACUGGGCGUAAAGCGCGCGUAGGCGGUUUUGUAAGUCGGGUGUGAAAUCCCCAAGCUUAACUUGGGAACUGCAUUCGAGACUGCAUAGCUAGAGUAUGGGAGAGGGAAGUGGAAUUUCAGGUGUAGCGGUGAAAUGCGUAGAUAUCUGAAGGAACAUCAGUGGCGAAAGCGACUUCCUGGACCAAUACUGACGCUCAUGUGCGAAAGCGUGGGGAGCAAACAGG
rnacentral:rRNA from 1 species